GCAAAUUAGCUUUACUCCACAUGCCCCGAGUCACAAAAACUAAAAUACCUCUUAGUCUAAGUAGACAUUUUCACUAGACAGGUAGAGGCCUUUCCUACAGGGUCUGAGAAGGCCACCGCAGUCAUUUCUUCCCUUCUGUCAGACAUAAUUCCUCAGUUUAGCCUUCCCAGCUCUAUACAGUCUGAUAACAGACCAGGCUUUAUUAGUCAAAUUAGCCAAGCAGUUUUUCAGGCUCUUAGUAUUCAGUGAAACCUUUAUAUCCCUUAUAGUUCUCUGUCUUCAAGAAAAGUAGAACAGACUAAAGGUCUUUUAAAAACACACCUCACCAAGCUCAGCCACCAAUUUAAAAAGAACUGGACAAUACUUUUACCACUUUCCCUUCUCAGAAGUCAGACCUGUCCUCAGAAUGCUACAAGGUACAGUCCAUUUAAGCUCCUGUAUAGAUGCUCCUUUUUAUUAGGCCCCAGUCUCAUCCCAGACACCAGACCAAUUUAGACUGUGCCCCCCAAAAAACUUGUCAUCCCUGCUAUUUUCUGUCUAGUCAUACUCCUAUUCUCCGUUCUCAACUACUCAUACAUGCCCUGCUCUUGUUUACACUGCCAGUUUACACUGUUUCUCCAAGCCAUCACAGCUGAUAUCUCCUCAUGCUAUCCCCAAACCGCCACUCUUAACUCUUGAAGUAAAUAAAUAAUCUUUGCUGGCAGGACUAUGCGGAACCUCCUUAUGCACUCUCUAAUUAGAUGUCCUAGGUCCUCCCAAUUCUUAGUCCUUUUAUACCUGUUUUUCUCCUUCUCUUAUUCCAUUUAGUUUUUCAAUUCAUACAAAACCGUAUCCAGGCCAUCACCAAUCUUUCUGUACAACAAAUGUUUCUUCUAACAACCCCACAAUGUCACCCCUUACCACAGGAUCUCCCUUCAGCUUAAUCUCUCCCACUCUAGGUUCCCACACCACCCCUAAUCUCCCUUGAAGCAGCCCUGAGAAACAUCGCCCAUUCUCUCUCCAUACCACCCCCCAAAAAUUUUCGCUGCCUCAACACUUCAACACUAUUUUGUUUUAUUUUUCUUAUUAAUAUAAGAAGGCAGGAAUGUCAGGCCUCUGAGCCCAAGCCAAGCCAUCGCAUCCCCUGUGACUUGCACGUAUACGCCCAGAUGGCCUGAAGUAACUGAAGAAUCACAAAAGAAGUGAAAAGGCCCUGCCCCGCCUUAACUGAUGACAUUCCACCAUGGUGAUUUGUUCCUGCCCCACCUUAACUGAGUGACUAACCCUGUGAAUUUCCUUCUCCUGGCUCAGAAGCUCCCCCACUGAGCACCUUGUGACCCCCGCCCCUGCCCACCAGAGAACAACCCCCUUUGACUGUAAUUUUCCAUUACCUUCCCAAAUCCUAUAAAACGGCCCCACCCCAUCUCCCUUCGCUGACUCUCUUUUCGGACUCAGCCCGCCUGCCCCCAGGUGAAAUAAACAGCCAUGUUGCUCACACAAAGCCUGUUUGGUGGUCUCUUCACACGGACGCGCAUGAAAAACCCCUUUCAUUUUACUGUGGGAUGGCAACCCUUUUUGGGACCCCUCUCUGCAGCAGAGAACUGUUCUCUUUCUUUCACCUAUUAAACUUCUGCUUCUGCUCUGACCUCGUCCUUGGUGUGUCUGCAUCGUCGAUUUCCUCAGCUGUGAGACCAACGACUUGGGCACCCACCCAGGCAACAAGGCCUUUUCAGUAAGGGAGGUGGUAAAAUGUUUUCAAUCCCUGUUGUCAAAAAUUGGCCUAAGGCUUCCCAAAAAAAGUAACCCAAAGCAGACAUGGCAAAUAUUUGCUACAUUUGAUAAUAAGCCAAUAAAUUAUCUGCUAAUAAGUGACUGAAAUAUUUAGCACACAUCUGCCUUAUUCUGAUGACUGAUCACAUUUCUAGCUCCCCUGUGGACUAAAACAAUAUGCUUUCCUUCUCUACACAAGCAAUGCUUUCUGCAGAGACACAAACUUUACAUCUGAAUACAAAUGCAGCACGUUUUAAUUCUGCCUCUCAUUCUCCAGCAAAAUCAUGGGGAAGAAGGAAAGCAUCCUUAGUCAAAAGGGGUACAGGGACUUAGAACCUCACCAUGCUGCAGUCACACAGGCAAUAGAGAAAGAUGGCGGUGGUUCCCUGGGGCAGUGGCGAACAAGUUCCCCUCUCAAGCAAGGAGACAGGGGCAGCACUCCUACCAUCUCCCCAGGGAUAUAGGAGUUGAGAAGGAAUUGCUUAGGCAGAUAGCAAGGGCAUGGGAGUCCUGGGUAAGGCUUUUCUUUUUAAUGAAAAGCAGCCCCAAGUCAUUUUCUAACAAAGAGCAGCCUGCAGGCUGGGAGCUUGCAUAGGUGAAUGCCAGCAGGAACUAAGGACUAGACAUUUUCAAACUGGUGGCUCCAUCUUCCCUUCCCUGCCAGCCAAGUGUACUGUAAGGAGCAGUCAAGAUGGCUCUGAUCAACUGGAAAGCUUAUUUGCAUAAUAAGAUUAGGGUGGGGCAACCAGCCUUCCCCCGCACACCAUGUAGACGUCAUACCUGAUGGAACCAGUCUGUGAGCCCUAUGUAAAUCAGACACCGCCUUCUCCAACUUAUUAUAUCUGUUUUGGUCCACUGCCUCCCCACUUUUCAGAUGUCUCUCUCUCUCUCUCUCUAAGAGCUGCUCUCCUCUCUCCUUUCUUCUAUCUAUUAAACUUUCCACUCCCUAACCCACCCACAUGUGUCUGUGUCCUGAAUUCUUGGUGUGUGAUGAUGAACCCCAGGGUGUAUACCCCAGACAGCACAGCCACUUCACCAGCAGGGACAGCAGCUGUCACAUGAACUGGAGGUGAGUCUGAUGUCUUGGAAUUUUGAGGAAAGUGGGUAGAAAGUUGCCAAGCAAGCUGAAGAGACAAGCAAAAGGGAUCAUGUUCCAGAAGAAUUCUUAGCAAGACAACAGUCAGAACUUCAAUCAAGGUGAUUGAUUGGUCUGAAAGGGGGAAUACAAUGUAAAUAAAAUACAACCAUGAGAAACCACAUGUAUGUUGUUGAACCUUAUCUAGACACUAACUGUGAAAAAGCCAGCUUGGAUUAUUGAUGAAGGACAUUCAGAAAACCACAGUUUUGCCGUGCUUAUUUAGAGAACAGAGACAGUGGUGUUAUCAGCCUAUAGCUCAAUUGUAAAAUUGGGAUGACUAGAUGUCCCGAGACCAUUCCAUUCCUCGGCCCUCUCGACACUCACCUAAGAAGCUUCCAAAUUUACCACUUCUCAGUCAUUGUAAGGAUGCUGCAUGUCAUAAGGAUGAUUAUGGAAGAUCAUGGGCAUGUUCUACAUAGAGAACAUGAAAAGUCACAAUAUUUUCUUUUAUAAAUUAAUAUUUUGGAAUUUAUAUUAGUUCCCCUAACUCUAAAUAACCAUGGGAAUAUUGACAAAUUUGAUUUUCCAGAACUUUAAAGCUGAGGCUAGACACUAACCACAGUGACUUUAUCUAUGUAGUAGCACACUCUACAGCUGGGAUGUCUGGAUAACAAGUUCCCCAGAUUGCAGCCUCCCUCCAGCACCAAGUAGGAUGACGAGUCUGUUUGGUUUCAUUUUAGCUAUGUAGAUUUGCCAAAUUUUGUCACCUCUGGACUUCAGUUUUCUCAUAUGUAAAAUGAUGCAUGGGCCUGAAUGUUUUCAGAGAACCUUCAAUCUCUGUGAGUCUCUUCACUGAAAAAAUUGUUGACUUUCUGAUUUUUAUUGUUCUGUUUUUCUUUUCAAUGUCAAAAAAGCACUAUGGUAAAAGUCUUUCAGUAAAACUUGAACCUUGGGGCUUGUUCCUGAGUUUGACAUGUUAAACAAAUGAAAGAACUGUUUUCAACUGAUUAGUCAUAUCCUUCUUCAAUUCCUAUGGGAAUAUGGGUUAGUUGUGCAUGAGAAAGUCAUCCGACUUUGGCAUGAAGAUGUCUUUCAGGUAGGUAGGCCACCUGUGAUGAAGUGAAUCAUUGAAGAAAAUCUAUUUUCUUGUGGCAUAAAUACAAGCCUGAAGAUUACACAUAAGCUGUCAUACACAUACCUCCUAAAUGCAAUUCCUCAGAAGUGACAUGCUAUCAUCAUUCACAUUAAUGUCUAUUUGUGCAACUACAUUGUUUAAAAUAAUCAACCAAUUCAUCACAAUAGAUAUUUGGGAGGAGUGAGGGAGCUUUCUCUGUACUAAUGAAAGAAAUGACAUUUCUGUUUACCAUUUGUCAGUUUUAAGUAGUUAAUAAAUAUCUGAAAUGAUUCUCAUA
rnacentral:lncRNA from 1 species